AGCGAAAACUUUACAAUGCCGGCAACGGCGAUAAGGGGACCUCGAGUGCCAGGUUACAAAUCUGGCUGUCGUGAUGCCUAAAAAGCAUUGCAUAGCGAGGGCCGGGCAAGAACGGUGCCAGCCGCCGCGGUAACACCGGCGGCUCGAGUGGUAAACGUGAUUAUUGGGUCCAAAGGGUCUGUAGCCGGACAGAUAAGUCUAUGGGGAAAUCCAGCAGGUUAACUGUUGGGCUUUCAGGAGAUACUGGCUGGCUCGAGUCCGGGAGCGGUGAGAGGUACUGCAGGGGUAGGGGUGAAAUCUUGUGAUCCUUGAAGGACCACCAGUGGCGAAGGCGUCUCACCAGAACGGACCUGACGGUAAGGUACGAAAGCUAGGGGCACGAACC
rnacentral:rRNA from 1 species